AGAGACAGCAGCAGCCGCGGUAAUACGAAGGGUGCAAGCGUUACUCGGAAUUACUGGGCGUAAAGCGUGCGUAGGUGGUGGUUUAAGUCCGUUGUGAAAGCCCUGGGCUCAACCUGGGAAUUGCAUCCAAAACUGGUGAGCUAGAGUACGGUAGAGGGUAGUGGAAUUUCCUGUGUAGCGGUGAAAUGCGUAGAUAUAGGAAGGAACACCAGUGGCGAAGGCGACUACCUGGACUGAUACUGACACUGAGGUGCGAAAGCGUGGGGAGCAAACAGGAUUAGAGACCCGUGUAGUCCCUGUCUCUUAUAC
rnacentral:rRNA from 1 species